rnacentral:rRNA from 1 species
UUUGGCCGUCCGAGUUGUAGUCUGGAGAAGUGCUUUCCGCGCUGGACCGUGUACAAGUCUCUUGGAACAGAGCGUCAUAGAGGGUGAGAAUCCCGUCUUUGACACGGACUACCAGUGCUUUGUGAUGCGCUCUCAAAGAGUCGAGUUGUUUGGGAAUGCAGCUCAAAAUGGGUGGUGAAUUCCAUCUAAAGCUAAAUAUUGGCGAGAGACCGAUAGCGAACAAGUACCGUGAGGGAAAGAUGAAAAGCACUUUGGAAAGAGAGUUAAACAGUACGUGAAAUUGCUGAAAGGGAAACGCUUGAAGUCAGUCGCGUCGUCCGGAACUCAGCCUUGCUUCGGCUUGGUGCACUUUCCGGAUGACGGGCCAGCAUCGAUUUUGACCGCCGGAAAAGGGUAGGAGAAAUGUGGCACCUUCGGGUGUGUUAUAGUCUCCUAUCGCAUACGGCGGUUGGGAUCGAGGAACGCAGCGCGCCUUAUGGCUGGGGUUCGCCCACAUUCGCGCUUAGGAUGCUGGCAUAAUGGCUUUAAACGACCCGUCUUGAAACACGGAC